GAUGAACGCUGGCGGCGUGCCUAAUACAUGCAAGUCGAGCGAACGGACGAGAAGCUUGCUUCUCUGAUGUUAGCGGCGGACGGGUGAGUAACACGUGGAUAACCUACCUAUAAGACUGGGAUAACUUCGGGAAACCGGAGCUAAUACCGGAUAAUAUUUUGAACCGCAUGGUUCAAAAGUGAAAGACGGUCUUGCUGUCACUUAUAGAUGGAUCCGCUCUGCAUUAGCUAGUUGGUAAGGUAACGGCUUACCAAGGCAACGAUGCAUAGCCGAACUGAGAGGGUGAUCGGCCACACUGGAACUGAGACACGGUCCAGACGCCUACGGGAGGCAGCAGUAGGGAAGCUUCCGCAAUGGGCGAAAGCCUGACGGAGCAACGCCGCGUGAGUGAUGAAGGUCUUCGGAUCGUAAAGCUCUGUUAUUAGGGAAGAACAUAUGUGUAAGUAACUGUGCACAUCUUGACGGUACCUAAUCAGAAAGCCACGGCUAACUACGUG
rnacentral:rRNA from 1 species